rnacentral:rRNA from 1 species
UACAGAGGGUGCAAGCGUUGUUCGGAAUUAUUGGGCGUAAAGCGCGUGUAGGCGGCCUAGCAAGUUGGGUGUGAAAGCCCUCGCUUAACCGAGGAAGUGCGCCCAAAACUACAAGGCUUGAGUACCGGAGAGGGUGGUGGAAUUCCUGGUGUAGCGGUGAAAUGCGUAGAUAUCAGGAGGAACACCUGUGGUGUAGACGGCUCUCUGGACCGCAACUGACGCUGAGACACGAAAGCGUGGGUAGCAAACAGG